AAGUCGUAACAAGGUUUCCGUAGGUGAACCUGCGGAAGGAUCAUUAAGGAAUCGGUCGGGCACAUCGUGCCCAGACUACCCUUUCUUUGUCUACUACACCUCCACGCUCUUACCACAUACGACAGCAAAUACUAAAGCCAAUACAACUUUUAACAAUGGAUCUCUUGGCUCUC
rnacentral:misc_RNA from 1 species